rnacentral:rRNA from 1 species
UCAGUAACACGUAGUCAACAUGCCCAGGGACGUGGAUAACCUCGGGAAACUGAGGAUAAACCGCGAUAGGUCAUAAUAUCUGGAAUGAUUUAUGGCUCAAAUCUACAUGGCCCCUGGAUUGGACUGCGGCCGAUCAGGCUGUUGGUGAGGUAAUGGCCCACCAAACCUAAAACCGGUACGGGCUCUGAGAGGAGAAGCCCGGAGAUGGGCACUGAGACAAGGGCCCAGGCCCUAUGGGGCGCAGCAGGCGCGAAAACUCUGCAAUAAGCGAAAGCUUGACAGGGUUAUUCUGAGUGAUUUCCGCUAAGGAAAUCUUUUGGCACCUCUAAAAAUGGUGCAGAAUAAGGGGUGGGCAAGCCUGGUGCCAGC